rnacentral:rRNA from 1 species
GCAUGAAAUCAGUGGCGGACGGGUGAGUAUAAGCAAGGAACGUACCUUUUACUGUGACAUAGCUCGUCGAAAGACGGGGUACUAUCGCAUGAGGCUUUACGGUCAAAGAGGUUAACCCCUCGGUAAAAGAGCGGCCUUGUUCCUAUCAGCUUGUUGGUGGGGUAAUGGCCUACCAAGGCGAUGACGGGUAGGGGGCGUGAGAGCGCGACCCCCCACAAUGGCACUGAGACACGGGCCAUACAUCUACGGAUGGCAGCAACUGGGAAUCGUUGGCAAUGGGCGAAAGCCUGACCACGCGACGCCGCGUGAGGGAUGAAGUAUUUCGGUAUGUAAACCUCUUUUGCCAAACUAUCAUGGUUUGGCGAAUAAGCACCUACAAACUACGUGCCAGCAGUCGCGGUAAUACGUAGGGUGCAAGCGUUAUCCGGAUUUACUGGGCGUAAAGGGUCGUGUAGGUGGUUUUCCGCAUCGAACCUGAAAGCCCGAGGCUUAACCUCGGCGUUGGGUUCGAGAUGGGGAGACUUGAGGAGUGUAGAGGCAAGGGGAACUCACGGUGGAGCAGUGAAAUGCGUUGAUAUCGUGAGGAACACCAAAGGCGAAGGCACCUUGCUGGACACUAUCUGACACUCAGACACGAAAGCUAGGGGAGCGAAGCAGAUUAGAGACCUGCGUAGUCCUAGCCCUAAACGCAUGUCUGCUAGAUGCUUUCCGCAAGGGAAGUGUCGUAAGCUAACGCGUUAAGCAGACCGCCUGGGGAGUACGAACGCAAGUUUAAAACUCAAAGGAAUUGACGGGGACCCGCACAACCGGUGGAGCGUGUGGUUCAAUUCGAGACGAAGCGAAGGACCUUACCAGGUCUUGACAUCUUACCGUACAGUUCCCUGGAAACAGGGGAUAAUCCGCAAGGAUGGUAGGACAGCUGCUGCAUGGUUGUCGUCAGCUCGUGCCGUGGGGUGUUCCUUUAAGUAGGAGAACGAGCGCAACCCGUAUCCGAUGUUACAAGUGUCAUCGGAGACUGCCCUGGCUUAUGUCAGGGAGGAAGGAACGGACGACGUCAAAUCAGCACGGCGCUUAUGACCUGGGUCACACACACCCUACAAUGGCGAAAAACAAUGGGACGCAAGCCGGCAACGGCAAGCAAAUCCUCUGCAAAUUUCGCCUCAGUUCAGAUUGGGGUCUGCAACCCGACCCCAUGAAGUCGGAAUCGGUAGUAAUCGCAGAUCAGCAGGCUGCGGUGAAUACGUUCUCGGGUCU